AGUGAACGCUGGCGGUAGGCCUAACACAUGCAAGUCGAACGGCAGCACAGUAAGAGCUUGCUCUUACGGGUGGCGAGUGGCGGACGGGUGAGGAAUACAUCGGAAUCUACUUUUUCGUGGGGGAUAACGUAGGGAAACUUACGCUAAUACCGCAUACGACCUACGGGUGAAAGCAGGGGAUCUUCGGACCUUGCGCGAUUGAAUGAGCCGAUGUCGGAUUAGCUAGUUGGCGGGGUAAAGGCCCACCAAGGCGACGAUCCGUAGCUGGUCUGAGAGGAUGAUCAGCCACACUGGAACAGAGGCACGGUCCAGACUCCUGCGGGGGGCAGCAGUGGGGAAUAUUGGACAAUGGGCGCAAGCCUGAUCCAGCCAUACCGCGUGGGUGAAGAAGGCCUUCGGGUUGUAAAGCCCUUUUGUUGGGAAAGAAAAGCAGCAGGUUAAUACCCCGCUGUUCUGACGGUACCCAAAGAAUAAGCACCGGCUAACUUCGUG
rnacentral:rRNA from 1 species